rnacentral:sRNA from 1 species
AAACGCAGUAGGAAUGGGUUCAGAGAUAGCUUAAACAAUCUGAGUCCGCACUCACUCUAUUCCUGUGAGCCUGCUUAAAGUGUCUCUCAUGUACUCAUACAACUUCCCCCCCGUCCCCCAACAGCUGUUGAAGGCUGGAUUCUCUUUGUAACUGGAGUCCAUGAGGAAGCCACCGAAGAAGACAUACACGACAAAUUCGCAGAAUAUGGGGAAAUUAAAAACAUUCACCUCAACCUCGACAGGCGAACAGGAUAUCUGAAGGGGUAUACUCUAGUUGAAUAUGAAACAUACAAGGAAGCCCAGGCUGCUAUGGAGGGACUCAAUGGCCAGGAUUUGAUGGGACAGCCCAUCAGCGUUGACUGGUGUUUUGUUCGGGGUCCACCAAAAGGCAAGAGGAGAGGUGGCCGAAGACGCAGCAGAAGUCCAGACCGGAGACGUCGCUGACAGGUCCUCUGUUGUCCAGGGCCGCCCAGUAUGCUUGCUCUCUUCUUGGCCAUGCGCUGCAGAGGCAUGGAGCCAGUCCUGAGUUACAGAAACAGAUUCGACAACUGGAGAGCCACCUGAGC